GAUGAAUAACGUAGCGAAAUGCGAUAAGUAAUGUGAAUUGCAGAAUUCAGUGAAUCAUCGAAUCUUUGAACGCACAUUGCGCCCGCCAGUAUUCUGGCGGGCAUGCCUGUCUGAGCGUCAUUUCAACCCUCAUGCCCCUAGGGCGUGGUGUUGGGGAUCGGCCAAAGCCCGCGAGGGACGGCCGGCCCCUAAAUCUAGUGGCGGACCCGUCGUGGCCUCCUCUGCGAAGUAGUGAUAUUCCGCAUCGGAGAGCGAUGAGCCCCUGCCGUUAAACCCCCAACUUUCCAAGGUUGACCUCAGAUCAGGUAGGAAUACCCGCUGAACUUAAGCAUAUCAAUAAGCGGAGGA
rnacentral:misc_RNA from 1 species